GAGAGCACAGUACGAUGAAAGUUGUAAGCUGUGUUUGGGGGGGAGUUAUUGUCUAUCAAAGGCCUCUAUGGUAAAAUAAAUCAAUAAAGUCUAAGAGACGAUGGCUUACCCUGU
rfam:Marchantia polymorpha subsp. polymorpha scaffold3825, whole genome shotgun sequence.